AUGGUGGGCAUACUUUUAACAUCCACUUUGAAAAAGCUGGGAAAAGAUUGCCAAAAACGGUUUCUCCGUGUAGCCUGGCUGUCCCGGACGUCAUGCUGGAGAGAUCAUGCCCUCAAGCUCAGAGAUUCACCUGACUCUGCCUCCCAAAUAAUCAGGGCCAAAUUAUUGUUUGGUUGUUUUGCUCAAACAGGCUUCAUCGUCUAAAUAAAAACAUUCUACUUACAUCUCUCUCUCUCUCUCUCUCUCUCUCUCUCUCUCUCUCUCUCUCUCUCUCUCUCUCUCUGUGUGUGUGUGUGUGUGUGUGUGUGUGUGUGUGUGUAGGUGUGUGUGUGUGUGUGUGUAUGUGUGUGUGUAUGUGUGUGUGUGUGUGAGAGAGAGUGUGUGUGUGUGUAUGUGUGUGUGUGUGUGAGAGUGUGUGUGUGUGAGUGUGUGUGUGUGUGUGUAUGUGUGUGUGUGUGUGUGAGAGAGAGUGUGUGUGUGUGUGUGUGUAUGUGUGUGUGUGUGUGUGAGAGUGUGUGUGUGUGUGUAUGUGUGUGUGUGUGAGAGUAUGUGUGUGUGUGUGUAGGUGUGUGUGUGUGUGUGUGUGUGUAGGUGUGUGUGUGUGUGUGUGUGUGUGUGUGUAGGUGUGUGUGUGUGUGUGUGUGUGUUCUAGGAGACUGUGCAUGUGUAUGGAGCUUCCCAUGUAUUGAGCAAGCGCUCUACCA
rnacentral:lncRNA from 1 species